GAACGGCAGCACAGUAAGAGCUUGCUCUUAUGGGUGGCGAGUGGCGGACGGGUGAGGAAUACAUCGGAAUCUACCUUUUCGUGGGGGAUAACGUAGGGAAACUUACGCUAAUACCGCAUACGACCUUCGGGUGAAAGCAGGGGACCUUCGGGCCUUGCGCGGAUAGAUGAGCCGAUGUCGGAUUAGCUAGUUGGCGGGGUAAAGGCCCACCAAGGCGACGAUCCGUAGCUGGUCUGAGAGGAUGAUCAGCCACACUGGAACUGAGACACGGUCCAGACUCCUACGGGAGGCAGCAGUGGGGAAUAUUGGACAAUGGGCGCAAGCCUGAUCCAGCCAUACCGCGUGGGUGAAGAAGGCCUUCGGGUUGUAAAGCCCUUUUGUUGGGAAAGAAAAGCAAUCGAUUAAUACCCGGUUGUUCUGACGGUACCCAAAGAAUAAGCACCGGCUAACUUCGUGCCAGCAGCCGCGGUAAUACGAAGGGUGCAAGCGUUACUCGGAAUUACUGGGCGUAAAGCGUGCGUAGGUGGUUGUUUAAGUCUGUUGUGAAAGCCCUGGGCUCAACCUGGGAAUUGCAGUGGAUACUGGGCAACUAGAGUGUGGUAGAGGGUAGUGGAAUUCCCGGUGUAGCAGUGAAAUGCGUAGAGAUCGGGAGGAACAUCCAUGGCGAAGGCAGCUACCUGGACCAACACUGACACUGAGGCACGAAAGCGUGGGGAGCAAACAGGAUUAG
rnacentral:rRNA from 1 species